rnacentral:SRP_RNA from 1 species
GCCGGGCACGGUGGCACGUGUCUGCAGUCCCAGCUAUUCGGGAGGCUGAGGCUGGAGGAUCUCUUGAGCCCAGGAGUUCUGGGCUGUACUGUGCUCUGCCGAUCGGGUGUCCACACUAAGUUUGGCAUCAAUAUGGUGACCUCCUGGGAGCAGGGGACCACCAGGUUGCCUAAGGAGGAGUGAAUCGGCCCAGGUCGGAAACAGAGCAGGUCAAAACUCCCGUGCUGAUCAGUAGUGGGAUCGUGCCUGUGAAUAGCCACUGCACUCCAGCCUGGGCAACAUAGCAAGACACUGUCUCU